rnacentral:rRNA from 1 species
AUUGAACGCUGGCGGCAUGCCUUACACAUGCAAGUCGAACGGCAGCAUAGGAGCUUGCUCCUGAUGGCGAGUGGCGAACGGGUGAGUAAUAUAUCGGAACGUGCCCUAGAGUGGGGGCUAACUAGUCGAAAGACUAGCUAAUACCGCAUACGAUCUACGGAUGAAAGUGGGGGAUCGCAAGACCUCAUGCUCCUGGACCGGCCGAUAUCUGAUUAGCUAGUUGGUGGGGUAAAAGACUACCAAGGCGACGAUCAGUAGAUGGUCUGAGGGGACGACCAGCCACACUGGGACUGAGACACGGCCCAGACUCCUACGGGAGGCAGCAGUGGGGAAUUUUGGACAAUGGGGGCAACCCUGAUCCAGCAAUGCCGCGUGAGUGAAGAAGGCCUUCGGGUUGUAAAGCUCUUUUGUCAGGGAAGAAACGGUAGUAGCUAAUAUCUAUUACUAAUGACGGUACCUGAAGAAUAAGCACCGGCUAACUACGUGCCAGCCGCCGCCGUAA